rnacentral:rRNA from 1 species
UACGUAGGGGGCAAGCGUUGUCCGGAUUUAUUGGGCGUAAAGAGCGUGUAGGCGGCCAUACAGGUCCGUUGUGAAAACUGGAGGCUUAACCUCCAGACGUCGAUGGAAACCGUAUGGCUAGAGUCCGGAAGAGGAGAGUGGAAUUCCUGGUGUAGCGGUGAAAUGCGCAGAUAUCAGGAAGAACACCCGUGGCGAAGGCGGCUCUCUGGAACGCAACUGACGCUGAGACGCGAAAGCGUGGGGAGCAAACAGG